GAUGAACGCUGGCGGCGUGCUUAACACAUGCAAGUCGAGCGAGAAGUUUUGAAAAGAUUCUUCGGAUGAAAUUUAAAAUGGCAAGCGGCGGACGGGUGAGUAACGCGUAGGCAACCUGCCCCAUACAAAGGGAUAGCAUUUGGAAACGAAUAUUAAUACCUUAUGAAACUUAACUAGUGCAUGCUAGGUAGGUCAAAGAUUUAUCGGUAUGGGAUGGGCCUGCGUCUGAUUAGCUAGUUGGUGAGGUAACGGCUCACCAAGGCGACGAUCAGUAGCCGACCUGAGAGGGUGAACGGCCACAUUGGAACUGAGACACGGUCCAAACUCCUACGGGAGGCAGCAGUGGGGAAUAUUGCACAAUGGGGGAAACCCUGAUGCAGCAACGCCGCGUGAACGAUGAAGGCCUUUGGGUCGUAAAGUUCUGUUCUAGGUGAUGAAAACUGACAGUAACCUAGGAGAAAGCCCCGGCUAACUCCGUG
rnacentral:rRNA from 1 species